UACGUAGGGGGCAAGCGUUGUCCGGAUUUAUUGGGCGUAAAGAGCGUGUAGGCGGCCAGGUAGGUCGGUUGUGAAAACUGGAGGCUUAACCUCCAGACGUCGACCGAAACCCCCUGGCUAGAGUCCGGAAGAGGAGAGUGGAAUUCCUGGUGUAGCGGUGAAAUGCGCGGAUAUCAGGAAGAACACCCGUGGCGAAAGCGGCUCUCUGGGACGGUACUGACGCUGAGACGCGAAAGCGUGGGGAGCGAACAGG
rnacentral:rRNA from 1 species